AUUGAACGCUGGCGGCAUGCCUUACACAUGCAAGUCGAACGGCAGCACGGACUUCGGUCUGGUGGCGAGUGGCGAACGGGUGAGUAAUGUAUCGGAACGUACCUUUCAGUGGGGGAUAACUAUCCGAAAGGAUAGCUAAUACCGCAUAUUCUGUGAGCAGGAACGCAGGGGAUCGCAAGACCUAGCGCUGAUUGAGCGGCCGAUAUCAGAUUAGCUAGCUGGAGGGGUAAAGGCCUACCAAGGCUACGAUCUGUAGCGGGUCUGAGAGGGUGACGCGCCAACCUGGAACUGAGACACGCUCCAGACGCCUACGGGAGGCAGCAGUGGGGAAUUUUGGACAAUGGGGGCAACCCUGAUCCACCCAUGCCGAGUGAGUGAAGAAGGCCUUCGGGUUGUAAAGCUCUUUCGUCCGGGAAGAAAUGGCAUCAGCUAAUACCUGGUGUGGAUGACGGUGCCGGAAUAAGAUGCACCGGCUAACUACGUGCCAGCCGCCGCCGUAACAC
rnacentral:rRNA from 1 species